GACGAACGCUGGCGGCGUGCCUAAUACAUGCAAGUCGAACGGGAGCGACCGGUGCUUGCACUGGUCAAUCUAGUGGCGAACGGGUGAGUAACACGUGGGUAACCUGCCCAUCAGAGGGGGAUAACAUCCGGAAACGGAUGCUAAAACCGCAUAGGUCUUCGAACCGCAUGGUUUGAAGAGGAAAAGAGGCGCAAGCUUCUGCUGAUGGAUGGACCCGCGGUGCAUUAGCUAGUUGGUGAGGUAACGGCUCACCAAGGCCGUGAUGCAUAGCCGACCUGAGAGGGUGAUCGGCCACAUUGGGACUGAGACACGGCCCAAACUCCUACGGGAGGCAGCAGUAGGGAAUCUUCCGCAAUGGACGCAAGUCUGACGGAGCAACGCCGCGUGAGUGAAGAAGGUUUUCGGAUCGUAAAACUCUGUUGUUAGAGAAGAACAAGUGCUAGAGUAACUGUUAGCGCCUUGACGGCAUCUAACCAGAAAGCCACGGCUAACUACGUG
rnacentral:rRNA from 1 species